GACGAACGCUGGCGGCGUGCUUAACACAUGCAAGUCGAACGGAAAGGCCCUGCUUUUGUGGGGUGCUCGAGUGGCGAACGGGUGAGUAACACGUGAGUAACCUGCCCUUGACUUUGGGAUAACUUCAGGAAACUGGGGCUAAUACCGGAUAGGAGCUCCUGCUGCGUGGUGGGGGUUGGAAAGUUUCGGCGGUUGGGGAUGGACUCGCGGCUUAUCAGCUUGUUGGUGGGGUAGUGGCUUACCAAGGCUUUGACGGGUAGCCGGCCUGAGAGGGUGACCGGCCACAUUGGGAAUGAGAUACGGCCCAGACUCCUACGGGAGGCAGCAGUGGGGAAUAGUGCACAAUGGGCGGAAGCCUGAUGCAGCAACGCCGCGUGCGGGAUGACGGCCUUCGGGUUGUAAACCGCUUUCGCCUGUGACGAAGCGUGAGUGACGGUAAUGGGUAAAGAAGCACCGGCUAACUACGUG
rnacentral:rRNA from 1 species